UCCGGAGGGAGCUAUCGUUGUUCGGAAUUACUGGGCGUAAAGCGCACGUAGGCGGCUACUCAAGUCAGAGGUGAAAGCCCGGGGCUCAACCCCGGAACUGCCUUUGAAACUAGGUAGCUAGAAUCUUGGAGAGGUCAGUGGAAUUCCGAGUGUAGAGGUGAAAUUCGUAGAUAUUCGGAAGAACACCAGUGGCGAAGGCGACUGACUGGACAAGCAUUGACGCUGAGGUGCGAAAGCGUGGGGAGCAAACAGG
rnacentral:rRNA from 1 species